GAAUAUAUAAGCACCUGAACGAAACUGUCUUGAGACCACAAAUGAACUUCUCAGUUCAGCCUUCCUUGCUCCUGGCCACCUCCCCAAUGGCCAGUGGCCCCUUUCCACAUGCUGACGCACUGCCCAGCCCUGCACCGUUGGCGAUCCGAGCAAAGUACCAGCUCGGUCUCAGAAACUUUGACUCAGUUAUCAGGACACGGAGGACAACAUGCGCGUGGGUGUGGAUGAGUGUCUGUCGGGGCCCACGCGGUCAACUUUGAAGCGGGGCAUUCCUGGCAGGUAGAGAUCUGCCCAAAAAACAGCCUAUCCCAGACAGCAAAACCACAAGCAUCGCCAGCAGGAACGGAGCAAAGUGCGCGGGGCGGAGGAAAGGGAAGAGCGAGGGAAGGACACGGGAUCCAACCGACGCUUUCAAGUGGUUCUCUUCCAUGGCUGCAGGGAGUGACCCAACUGGGCAAUAAGGGAAUGAAGAAUGGACAGACAUACAGACAGACACAGAAAAGCUGAAAUGAGGUCAUCUGGACUCUCUGACAGAGAAGCUACAGCCCUCCCCACCUCCCAGGGAGAAGCUGUAUAAUCACAGAGGUAGCCUGCAUCUGUGUGGCUGUGGUGUGAUGUGGUGUGAGCCAUCGCAGCAGGGUAAUUUCCUCCCUGGUGGUUUCCCUACAUCAGUUCGUCCAAGCAGAGCUUUAGCAGCAAAAUCCAAAAUUCCUUCAAGUAUUUGCAACAGACCUGGUAAAUUCAAGGGUUUUAACAUUUGCAUACACACACACACAAAACAUAUGUGUGUGUACAUAUAUAUGUAUGCAUGUAUGUAUGUAAAUGUAUGUGUAUAUAUAGUCCCUAAAUGUGUAUGUUUAAAGGAAAAGUAACCAAAAAUUAUGUUUUCACAGCAAAAAAAGGAAAAUAACCACUUUCCUCUUCUACAUCAAGGGAAAUAUGGCUCUUCUACAUUCCUCUCUGACCCUCCUACAAGACAUUUCUUAAAUCUUUUCACCUAUUGCCACAGUAAAA